rnacentral:rRNA from 1 species
UACGGAGGGGGCUAGCGUUGUUCGGAAUUACUGGGCGUAAAGCGCGCGUAGGCGGACCUGCAAGUCGGGGGUGAAAGCCCGAGGCUCAACCUAGGAACUGCCUUCGAUACUGCGGGUCUCGAGUCCGGGAGAGGUGAGUGGAAUUCCUAGUGUAGAGGUGAAAUUCGUAGAUAUUAGGAAGAACACCAGUGGCGAAGGCGGCUCACUGGCUCGGUACUGACGCUGAGGCGCGAAAGCGUGGGGAGCAAACAGG